GAGACGAGCAACAGGGAUUGCCUUAGUAACGGCGAGUGAAGCGGCAACAGCUCAAAUUUGAAAUCUGGCUCUUUUAGAGUCCGAGUUGUAAUUUGCAGAGGGCGCUUUGGCGUUGGCAGCGGUCCAAGUUCCUUGGAACAGGACGUCACAGAGGGUGAGAAUCCCGUACGUGGUCGCUAGCCAUCACCGUGUAAAGCCCCUUCGACGAGUCGAGUUGUUUGGGAAUGCAGCUCUAAAUGGGAGGUAAAUUUCUUCUAAAGCUAAAUACUGGCCAGAGACCGAUAGCGCACAAGUAGAGUGAUCGAAAGAUGAAAAGCACUUUGGAAAGAGAGUCAAAUAGCACGUGAAAUUGUUGAAAGGGAAGCGCUUGCAGCCAGACUUGCCUGUAGUUGCUCAUCCGGGCUUUUGCCCGGUGCACUCUUCUGCGGGCAGGCCAGCAUCAGUUUGGGCGGUUGGAUAAAGGUCUCUGUCAUGUACCUCUCUUCGGGGAGAACUUAUAGGGGAGACGACAUACAACCAGCCUGGACUGAGGUCCGCGCAUUUGCUAGGAUGCUGGCGUAAUGGCUGUAAGCGGCCCGUCUUGAAACACGGACCAAGGAGUCUAACAUCUAUGCGAGUGUUUGGGUGUCAAGCCCGAGCGCGUAAUGAAAGUGAACGGAGGUGGGACCCCUUUUAGGGUGCACCAUCGACCGAUCCUGAUGUCUUCGGAUGGAUUUGAGUAAGAGCAUGGCUGUUGGGACCCGAAAGAUGGUGAACUAUGCUUGAAUAGGGUGAAGCCAGAGGAAACUCUGGUGGAGGCUCGCAGCGGUUCUGACGUGCAAAUCGAUCGUCAAAUUUGGGCAUA
rnacentral:rRNA from 1 species